AAAAAGUUUUGGUUUUGAAGAGCUUUGGUUUUCCUGAGCUCAUACAUGCUUUCCUGCCAUUGCCUUUCGACAUCCGUCUCCAGGGCUCCAGUUUCCUCAGCCUCCAGCAGACUUGCACCUGCAGCUCUCCAGUGAGCCUCCAGGUCUUCCACCUUGGACUGGUGCUGACUCCUUGACCCUUCUAGUGGUGUGACUUUCAGCUUCUUGGCCCGAGCAGCUACCGGAUCCCUGGCUGUCCAAUGUCCAGAUGGCCCCUUCUGCCUCUGCUUCUGCAGGGGGCACUGUGGACCCCACUUCUAAUCCUGUGAGCUCUCUAUGUCUUCAUGUUUUUAAUACACAUCUGCAAUAACUCUGUGAAAGAAAGGAAGUUCUCCUACAUUCUCUCAGUAUUAGGACUGCGUCUGAGAGACUUCACAUUGACAUUCGUACUGUGCAAGACAGCCCUCAGUGCUUCCUUCUCAUCUCACACGAUACUUACUGGCUUGAACAGUUUGGGUCACUUGUUUCCACUUUCUGUCCCAUCAUUGGAAUUUGUGUGACUCUUCCUUCGG
rnacentral:lncRNA from 1 species